CAAAGGCUUGGUCCUGGCUUUACUAUCAACUCUUACCAAACUUACACAUGCAAGUCUCCGCACCCCCGUGAGAAUGCCCUCAGUCCCCCACCCGGGAACAAGGAGCGGGUAUCAGGCACGCCCCGGCAGCCCAAGACGCCUUGCUAAGCCACACCCUCAAGGGAACUCAGCAGUGAUAAACAUUAAGCCAUAAGUGAAAACUUGACUUAGUUACGGUAAACAAGGGCCGGUAAAACUCGUGCCAGCCACCGCGGUUAUACGAGAGACCCAAGUUGAUAAGCAACGGCGUAAAGAGUGGUUAAGGAAACACCCCAACUAAAGCCGAACACCCUCAAAGCUGUUAUACGCACCCGAGGACAUGAAGCACCACCACGAAAGUGGCUUUACCCAUCCUGAACCCACGAAAGCUAAGACACAAACUGGGAUUAGAUACCCCACUAUGCCUAGCCCUAAACAUUGAUAGUACUUUACACCCACUAUCCGCCAGGGAACUACGAGCACCAGCUUAAAACCCAAAGGACUUGGCGGUGCUUUAGACCCACCUAGAGGAGCCUGUUCUAGAACCGAUAACCCCCGUUCAACCUCACCCUCUCUUGUCCCCCCCCCCGCCUAUAUACCGCCGUCGUCAGCUUACCCUGUGAAGGCCCCAUAGUAAGCAAAAUUGGCACAGCCUAAAACGUCAGGUCGAGGUGUAGCGUUAUGAGAUGGAAAGAAAUGGGCUACAUUUUCUCUGCCAUAGAGAAUUACGGAUGGUGUAAUGAAAUACACACCUGAAGGAGGAUUUAGCAGUAAGCAGAAAACAGAGCGUUCUACUGAAACUGGCCCUGAAGCGCGCACACACCGCCCGUCACUCUCCCCAAAAAACUAAAAACAAGUAACUAAAUACCCACCACAAUAAAGGGGAGGCAAGUCGUAACAUGGUAAGUGUACCGGAAGGUGCACUUGGAAAAAU
rnacentral:ncRNA from 1 species